UCUCAACUGGUCUUUUGUGUAAACAGAUUAAUAAUUGCUAGAAAAAGAGAACUUAAUUCUUAAAUUUCCUUGGUGGGUUAUCCCUGGCUAGGAAUUACCCAUAGGAAAAAGAACCCAGGAUCUAGAAGUUUCACUGGAGAAUAUCAUGCAAAUCACGUAGUUCUCUGGGGUGUAAUUGAAUCAUCUUGGAUUUGAAAUACCCCUAACUCUGAAGCACUUAAGAAUGUCAUUCAGAGACCUUCUGUACUUUGGACUAAAAGGACAUACCAAGCUCAAGCUAAAAGGACAGCAGAAGCUGAGGAGCUACAGUCAGUAUAUUAUUUGGGUUGGGGUAUUGGAGAAAGACCACAGGAAGACACAGGAGGACAAUAUUCAAGGAGAAAAAUCCUCGGGAAAGAUAUGGCUCUAGUCACAUUAAAAUUGAAUCUGUAUUACUUGGGGAUUUUAUUAGAGUGUGGAUUCAUAUUCAGUUAAUCUUCUAUAGAGCUGGAGCCUGUAUUUCCAAUGAGUUAUAAGAUAUAAAGGCUAUCUGCACCAAGGCAUCAAUGAGAAGCAAUGGUCAGAAAUUUUGUUCAAGUAAAAGAUGGUUUGUUCUUCUGAGGACUAUGUGAUAAAAGAAUUUUGGGAGAGAGGAAGAUGCUGGAGAUUUGAUAAUCCAUCUCUGAGACUGGGACAGUGAACUCACCUGGGCUAUAUACAUCAGAAUCACAGAGAAUGCUGUUGAGAUAAGAAGUCGCAAAUGUAAAGUUGAGAAAAAAGGACUCUGAGAAUCACUGUUUUCCAGAGGAAGAAACUAGUGCACACGGACCAAGGCUUGCUGAAGUGCCACGUCAUGAGGAAAGGACAGACUGAACUGAAAUUCUGACUUCCAGUCAUGUGUUCUUUCAUGUCAAGGUGCAGUAGGCCUGACGUAUUAGAGGGGUACACUGAAGGGAUUUGAUCAACAGGAAGUUUGCUGCGAAAGGAAAGCAAGAGCAGUAUGACUUUCUGCUGGAGAAAAAGCAAAAUACAAUGCAGUGUUUCUCUCAGUUUGGAGGGAAAAAGAAUGAAUGAAAUAUAGAUAACUUUAAAAGAGCAUCAUAUAAGGCUGGUAUCACAUCAAUCCAUAGUGUUUAUUUUGUACAAGCUGGUGACAUUUAGAGGGAACUGAGAGUUCCAGCAGUUUUCAGUAGGUGGUCAGCUUGACAUUUCUGUAUAAUGUCUCACUGGGCUAAUAAAACCUGUCAAUUCCUGCUGCUUCCAUUUUCAUUUUAUUCUUUCUGUUCAUUUAAAGUAACAAUUUAGUAAAUCAUAGUAUAUAGGCAAGUGCUAAAGCCAAGUGUUUAUACAUACUAAAAUUUUUUAAGCCUGAAAUUUUUUACCUAACAGAUGGAAGAAUUGUGAGCAAUUUUGCUGGAACUCUGUAGCUUUAUUUUUUUUUUUAAUUUCAUUUGUUAACAUUUAAAUAUUCAGUUUAUGUCCAAUAAAACAAUCAUAUUUUAAAAUAAGCCCCACAGUUAUUAUCAAAACAGAUUCGUGUGGUUUGGCAACUAGCAAAUAAUGUGGACAUCUGUUACUGAGAAAAUAAACCAAAAUAAAUUGAACCAUAGUGAAUGUUGUUGUAAUUUGAUAAUUAAUUGAUAUUUUAAACUACAAGUUUAUACUACCUAACAUCAGCUGGACCUUUGUAAUUAUGUCUAAUUUACAGCAAGUUAUCUCUCCCACAGAUUUAUUUCUUGUUUCAGUGAUUCUUCAAAUUUUUUAAACCCCAAAGCAUAGAACCACCAUUCAGCUCAGUAUUAUCUUUCUUGAAAAAUUACCCAGUUCUCUGUAUUUAUGUAAAUUGUUGUAAUCCAGGUUGCUCUUUCAUUUUAUUAUCUCUUCUUUUGCAUUUUAAUUCGUUUUGGUUCCUUCCUACCGCUGAGGAAGCAGGUGAGAGUCUUCACGUGUUACUUGUGUCUAUCUUUACUUUGAAUUCCACGUUCCCUCAGAGGAGGAGAUUUUUAUAUCAAUUGUCUCUUUUUUGAAAGUGUGAUUGAGGUAGGCAUCGGCACCUCCUCUUGUUUGGGGGUUUGAGACUGCAGGGCCAACACUGCUUGUUCCCAUCCAAGUCCAGAGACUUCAGUUGUACCUUCUGGUUAUGUAAGACCUGGACCUGUUUGGAGAGUGUGUGAGUAUCUUAAAACAUUAAAGAAGGUUUCCAAUGGAGGAGUAGGAAAGGAAUUUAUCCUCCAAGACAGUGGUAUUUGCAUUUGAAUGGGGAAGGAUCAUACACAGGUAUUCCAUAAGGAAAGCAAUUAAUCUAUUUUAAAAUACAACGUAUGUACCUUUGCUCUUUGUUUUAUUGUUCUUUUCGUCUUUUCAUGCGUCAAGGAUUCCUCUGAAAUGCUGCAUCAUCAAUGACAGUAACAACAAAGGAAAGACCUUCAACUAUUUGAAGAAUUAACCUGUUUCUUUCCUUUUCUGCAAUCCAAUUUUUUAAAAAAGAAUUCUAUUUAUUGCCUACAUUCUUUAGGUCUCUAAUAUUUUUCAGCUUGCACCUAGAUAACCCUUUAUUUCACCACCAAUAUUUUGAACUAUCACCAACAUGAUAACAUGUAUGACCUAGUUUUCUACUACCAUUCCUACAAGAAAAUACCUAUAUCCUGAUUCAUUCAUACUGAAAUAUUCCCUGUAUAGUGAGGUUUCUCCUAGUCAAGGUUAAUUUCUGCACUUAAUCUCUGUCUCCUCCCUUCUCCAUCCCCAGGGCAUUCCAGCAUCAAUUAAUUCAUUUUUCUGGGGCCUGGGGUUUAGCUUAGCAGCACUGUGCAUACCUCACAAGCACAAGAUCCUGAGUUCCAUCCCCUGUACCAAAAAAAAAAAUCUCUCCUUGGCCUUUUGGCUAAGAUCAAACGUAAUUCUUUUUUCUGUCUUCAAAUUCUAGUUCUCUCUACUAGGUCCUUGACUUUUGUAUAUAAAUAGUGGAAGUCUUAAUAAAAGAACAAUGUCACUCAAUCUAAGUGUUUGUUUCCGCUAUUGCCUCACUGUUUUUUCUCAUAUAGUACUUUUAAAAUUUUUCAUUCAUUGCUAAGGUAGAUAUUUAUUGAGUGCCUACUAUGUGCUAAACACUAUUUUAAGCACUAAAAAUAUGUAGCAAACAUCAUUGAAAAUCCACCUCUUCAAGGCGCUGUUAGCCUUGUAGGAGGAGAUGAUGUAAACAACUGAAAUAUAUAGUAUGGGAAAAGGUAAUAAGCACCAGAAUGAAAAAAAGAGCGAAAAGUGGGAAAAAAGCUUAAGACAUGCUUGGGGUCCUUUUAAAUCCAGAGCUCAGAAAAUGCUGAGCAGCCUCUUGAAUGACACCAGUGAGUUAGUUCUAUACUUCCAUGAAGACAUCACCAAAGACACUAAGCACUCCUCCUUAGUAAUUCCUUCUUUAUUUGACUGUUCCAACCAUUUGAGACUCUAACCUGUCAGGACAUGGCAAGCUUACCUUGGAUUGUGUUAGUUACUGAAUUAGCCAAAAGGUUAAAAAAGAGAUUGCAGGGGGAUAUACACAGAAGCUCCACAUUGUUUCUAAAAUGCUGAGCAACCCAAUGUUUUUAUACUUUCUAGUUUGUAGCAAAGCAUAUUUUACCUCUGUAUUUCAGUCUGACUUAGUACUAUGUUGUAUACAUUUUUGAGCCAUUCUUGAAUACGGCAUGGAAGUUUCUUAAUGACUUUUGCCCACUAUGAAUGACCUUUCUAAAUUAUUAAAGCUCUAGUGAUUUUUCUAGGGUACCACCUUAAGAAGUGCUUUGAAUUUGAGUUAUAUUUUUUGAAAUUUUCUUUCUUUUCACAGUGUUAAAUAUAUUCUUAUAUUCUUGGAUUUUUCUUCCUUGUAGAAUUGCAUGAAGAGAUCUUAUUUGCAUCUUCAAUUUAAGCAUUUCAAUGUGAAAAACUGAGCUUCACAUCUUUACUUAUGUAGAAUAAAUAAAUUUUACUCUUGCUACCGCUGAAUAAUUCUUUACCAAGAAAAGGCUGAGUAAAGGGAUUGUGUUUCUGACUUUUAUAAUGUUAUUGAGAACCUAAACUUUCACUUUAGUGAUAUAAUAACCAAUAGGCCAAUCUUUUUAAUUAGAUGAAGAUUCUUGAUAUUAAUGGAGAUAAACAGAUAUGAGCUGGCAAACUUUAAUCUUAAAGGAAUUUAAUCAAUUACUGUAUACAUAGUAACAGAGGUACAAAUGUAAGAUGAGCCAGUAUAAGUUAAUUCUUGACUUUGAAAACCUACCAACUUGUCCAAAGUGACAAAUUUAUAAUUCUCUAUUUACUUCUCUGAAAAUGAUGACAAUCUGGUAACUGUUUAAGAGACAAUAAUUUGAAGUAGUUAAAGUAUUAUAGAACAUCUAAUCUUUUUACCAAACUUAAUUUUCUUAAUUGUCUAUAGGGGAAAGAAAAGUUACUCAAAAUUGUAUUGCAAACAUGUAAGUAGUUAAUUAAUAAAGAAUUUACCACAGACAGUUUUCUAAAUAGAAUUACACAUUACACUAUAUAUCUUUCAAAAUUGAAGGGAUAGUAAGAAUUAAAAUGCUUAAGAGUUUGUCUUUAUAUUCCAAAUAGCUUGCAAUAUUUACUUAAAGUACACAGUGUUUCUUUUUAACCUUAUUUUCUCCAUGUAUUGUUCUUAGAAAGAACAAACUAACUAUGAAUAUAAACAAAAUUAUAAAACUGUGCAAAGGGGAAGGGGAAAUGGGAGGGGCAGGGGGAAAGAAAGAAGGGAAUGGAAUUAAUAUGAAAAAAAGAAAAAAUGGAAACAAAGUCUUUGUAGAUAGG
ensembl:lncRNA